rnacentral:lncRNA from 1 species
GGCGGCGCCUGCUGCUUGUGCCGUGCAGCCGGUGUCACCUCAGGACAGCGCCUCGCGUCUGUGUACAGAGCGUGCUGCGGGCGCCUAGGGUAGUCCGAGGUCACUCCUCUCCGCGCCCCGCAGUCGCGCACGCCCCCACGCGCGGGGUGGGCGGCGGCCGGGGGUCGCCGAGUGGAAAGGCCACGCCCCCCCACGCCCGGGCUCGGCACGCUGCCCCUGGGUCGCGAACGCGCCUCCGCUCGACCCGCUUGGAGGACGUCGCUGGUGGCCCAGGAGUGAAGCCCCGGCGGCUGCCUCCUGAGAAAAGAUAGCCGUGUUUAAAGAGACUGAACGGGAUCUUUGCUUUGCCGGGCGUAUUUUGUGAUAAAAUACCACAAAAUGUUGAGACAAAAAUGAGUGGAAUAUGGAGACCGAGCCGCACAGACACGCAAUUGUAAGGAAACAUCUCGAACACCGAGUGCCAGGAAUAUCAACUGUCCGGGCCACGCAAGAGCCUGCUUUUUACCUGCCUCCAGCCCCCUGUCGUGCUGGUUUAAUCGCUGAAACAAAUGAAGUAGCAGGCCCUGGCAUAGCGCUUUGGGCCUUCGCCUUAUUAACAACUUUGUCAAGUCUUGCAUCGCGAUUCUGCCUUGUUAAUUUCCUUGUUUUUCGCUGUGGUUUUGGAGAAGCAAUGUUUUCCGUGAUCUCUCAGGCUAGCCUCGGAAUAAAACGUGGCAGAAGCGCUCCCGCGAACACAUACGCAUAUAUUUUAUUCUACCUAUUCCCUAGAGUCUGCUAACUUCAAAAGUCUAGAUACUCACACAGCUGUUUACUUGCAGCAGUAUUUGAAGAGAUAACCUUGGUGUCUAGAAAGGUCUCAGAAACUGGAGGUAAGAGACCUGGAUUCAAAUCGCGCCUUGGCCACUUCCCAAAAGGCAACCGAGAGCCUCUCUGAGCUUGUCAGUUUCCGCAUCUGCAAAUUAGUGGUGAUCAAACCUGUGGGGAUGAUUAUGUGAUAAAUAACAGUAACCUAGUUUAAAACUAGGCACGUUAUUGGAAGCUUUCAGUAAACGAAAUAAAAAGCCUUUUCGAGAGGGUA